ensembl:lncRNA
CUGAAUACCGGAGGGGGGUGUAGGACAUCCCAUCUCUCUGGCUACAAUGCUUAUUUGUAUGGCUUCCAAGGGGUGUUGAUGAUGAACCUCUGUUAGGAAUACAAUCCUGUCAGCCACACAGGAUUACUCAUGUGUCAAUGACUAUCUGGGAGGACGUAAAGAGGAGUAUCCUCCCACGUUGUGAAGGGUCAAAACUGAACCUGGAAUUUCACAGAAGAGCUGAGAAAGUUAUCCAGACUAUGAUUUCCUAAGCCCAGAGGAGUGCUGGCCUGUUUUUCAGAAGCUCAUUUAAGUGUUUCUCAGAUUUACUGUAAGGACUGGGGAUGCUGGACAAGAUUUCACUGUUCAUGGACUGUCCUGGACUCAUUAUGUAUACAGAUUGUCUUGGUCUCAAUAAAAUCCCUCUACCUCUGCC